AUUGAACGCUGGCGGCAGGCCUAACACAUGCAAGUCGAGCGGAUGAGAGGAGCUUGCUCUUUGAUUCAGCGGCGGACGGGUGAGUAAUGCCUAGGAAUCUGCCUGGUAGUGGGGGACAACGUUUCGAAAGGAACGCUAAUACCGCAUACGUCCUACGGGAGAAAGUGGGGGAUCUUCGGACCUCACGCUAUCCGAUGAGCCUAGGUCGGAUUAGCUAGUUGGUGAGGUAAUGGCUCACCAAGGCGACGAUCCGUAACUGGUCUGAGAGGAUGAUCAGUCACACUGGAACUGAGACACGGUCCAGACUCCUACGGGAGGCAGCAGUGGGGAAUAUUGGACAAUGGGCGCAAGCCUGAUCCAGCCAUGCCGCGUGUGUGAAGAAGGUCUUCGGAUUGUAAAGCACUUUAAGUUGGGAGGAAGGUCAGUAGCUUAAUACGUUGCUGAUUUGACGUUACCGACAGAAUAAGCACCGGCUAACCCUGUGCCAGCCGCCGCCGUAAGAC
rnacentral:rRNA from 1 species